UACGUGGGGUCCAAGCGUUAUCCGGAAUUAUUGGGCGUAAAGCGUGCGUAGGCGGCUGCGCAAGUCGGUUGUGAAACCCCGGGGCUCAACCCCGGAACUGCAUCCGAUACUGCGUGGCUAGAGGUAGGUAGGGGAGAUCGGAAUUCCUGGUGUAGCGGUGAAAUGCGCAGAUAUCAGGAGGAACACCGGUGGCGAAGGCGGAUCUCUGGGCCUUACCUGACGCUCAGGCACGAAAGCUAGGGGAGCGAACAGG
rnacentral:rRNA from 1 species